rnacentral:tRNA from 1 species
GCGGGUGAAGACAAAGGGUAGCGUCGUCUGUCUGUCGAACAGAAGAGAGUGGGUUCAAGUCCCAUCAUCCGCGC